GGGCGCAAGCCUGAUGCAGCGACGCCGCGUGAGGGAUGACGGCCUUCGGGUUGUAAACCUCUUUCAGCAGGGAAGAAGCGAAAGUGACGGUACCUGCAGAAGAAGCGCCGGCUAACUACGUGCCAGCAGCCGCGGUAAUACGUAGGGCGCAAGCGUUGUCCGGAAUUAUUGGGCGUAAAGAGCUCGUAGGCGGCUUGUCGCGUCGGUUGUGAAAGCCCGGGGCUUAACCCCGGGUCUGCAGUCGAUACGGGCAGGCUAGAGUUCGGUAGGGGAGAUCGGAAUUCCUGGUGUAGCGGUGAAAUGCGCAGAUAUCAGGAGGAACACCGGUGGCGAAGGCGGAUCUCUGGGCCGAUACUGACGCUGAGGAGCGAAAGCGUGGGGAGCGAACAGGAUUAGAUACCCUGGUAGUCCACGCCGUAAACGGUGGGCACUAGGUGUGGGCAACAUUCCACGUUGUCCGUGCCGCAGCUAACGCAUUAAGUGCCCCGCCUGGGGAGUACGGCCGCAAGGCUAAAACUCAAAGGAAUUGACGGGG
rnacentral:rRNA from 1 species